UGGUGGGUAGUUUGACUGGGGCGGUCUCCUCCCAAAGAGUAACGGAGGAGCACGAAGGUUAGCUAAUCCUGGUCGGACAUCAGGAGGUUAGUGCAAUGGCAUAAGCUAGCUUGACUGCGAGAGUGACGGCUCGAGCAGGUGCGAAAGCAGGUCAUAGUGAUCCGGUGGUUCUGAAUGGAAGGGCCAUCGCUCAACGGAUAAAAGGUACUCCGGGGAUAACAGGCUGAUACCGCCCAAGAGUUCAUAUCGACGGCGGUGUUUGGCACCUCGAUGUCGGCUCAUCACAUCCUGGGGCUGAAGUAGGUCCCAAGGGUAUGGCUGUUCGCCAUUUAAAGUGGUACGCGAGCUGGGUUUAGAACGUCGUGAGACAGUUCGGUCCCUAUCUGCCGUGGGCGCUGGAGAAUUGAGGGGGGCUGCUCCUAGUACGAGAGGACCGGAGUGGACGCAUCACUGGUGUUCGGGUUGUCAUGCCAAUGGCACUGCCCGGUAGCUAAAUGCGGAAAAGAUAAGUGCUGAAAGCAUCUAAGCACGAAACUUGCCCCGAGAUGAGUUCUCCCUGACCCUUUAAGGGUCCUGAAGGAACGUUGAAGACGACGACGUUGAU
rnacentral:rRNA from 1 species